GGGGCUAUGGCUUGUUUUUCUAUGUUAUUAUGUGUUUUAUAUUGUAGGCAAAUCGGCGUGCAAUUUGAAGAAGUGUGAUAAAAUACUCAGAGGUGGAAUCAUGUGACUUUCCAGAUGCCCAAAUCAGUACCCUUCUAAACAUACAUUAAGAUGAGCCUGAAGAGGAGAUUUGGGAAGAUGCUGUUUCAUAAGUCUUUGCUUUGCCAGAUGACCUGUGAUACUGUCAUCAUAUUUUAAGUACAGCCGGAAUGGAUGGGUGGUGGCGGCCAUAAGAAGACUCUCAGCUAAACCAACAACAAAAUUAAUAUUUGCCAUUUUCCUUGAAUAAAAAA